rnacentral:rRNA from 1 species
UAAUACAGAGGGGGCCAGCGUUAUUCGGAAUUAUUGGGCGUAAAGGGCGCGUAGGCGGCCAUGCGUGUCUUCCGUGAAAUCCCUCGGCUUAACUGAGGACGUGCGGAAGAAACUGCAAGGCUCGAGUCCGGGAGAGGGGGGUGGAAUUCCCAGUGUAGCGGUGAAAUGCGUAGAUAUUGGGAGGAACACCGGUGGCGAAGGCGGCCCCCUGGACCGGUACUGACGCUGAGGCGCGAAAGCGUGGGUAGCAAACGGGAUUAGAUACCCCGGUAGUCCACGCCGUAAACGAUGGGCACUUGGUGUCGCGGGUAUCGACCCCUGCGGUGCCGAAGCUAACGCAUUAAGUGCCCCGCCUGGGGAGUACGGUCGCAAGGCUG